GCGCAAGCCUGAUGCAGCGACGCCGCGUGAGGGAUGGAGGCCUUCGGGUUGUAAACCUCUUUCGCCAGUGAAGCAGGCCUGCUCCUUGUGGGUGGGUUGACGGUAGCUGGAUAAGAAGCGCCGGCUAACUACGUGCCAGCAGCCGCGGUAAUACGUAGGGCGCGAGCGUUGUCCGGAAUUAUUGGGCGUAAAGAGCUCGUAGGCGGCUGGUCGCGUCUGUCGUGAAAUCCUCUGGCUUAACUGGGGGCUUGCGGUGGGUACGGGCCGGCUUGAGUGCGGUAGGGGAGACUGGAACUCCUGGUGUAGCGGUGGAAUGCGCAGAUAUCAGGAAGAACACCGGUGGCGAAGGCGGGUCUCUGGGCCGUUACUGACGCUGAGGAGCGAAAGCGUGGGGAGCGAACAGGAUUAGAUACCCUGGUAGUCCGCGCCGUAAACGUUGGGCACUAGGUGUGGGGGGCCUUUUCCGGGUCUUCCGCGCCGUAGCUAACGCAUUAAGUGCCCCGCCUGGGGAGUACGGCCGCAAGGCUAAAACUCAAAGGAAUUGACGGGGGCCCGCACAAGCGGCGGAGCAUGCGGAUUGGUUCGAUGCAACGCGAAGAACCU
rnacentral:rRNA from 1 species